rnacentral:lncRNA from 1 species
CAGAUAUUCUUUUUCUUUUGGUAUAGUGAUAUAAAAAUUAAUAUAGUCAUUUUCAUCUCCUUAACCAUGGCUUGCAUGCUUCCACUAUUUCAACUGUGGUCUUCCUCUGGUGUUUCCACCAUAAACACUUUUUUUUCCAGUGUUCUUGUUAUUGUUAAGAAAGGGAGAAAUGGUUGAACUUGCCAUGCAUGUGGCCACUAUUGCAAUGUUAUUUUAAUCAUAGGGUCUAGUACAAGGUUGGCUGAAAGAAGAGGAGCAAUAGAUGAAGGUUUGGGAUAUGGGAAGAGAGGUUUUUCUUUCGGCAUGAGACUGCUACUUUUAUUGCAUGAUCGGGUUCACUGGGCAUGAGACUUUUUAUUGUAGAAAGGGGUCUAGAGUCUAGACCAUGGUUUUAAAAGACCAGAGAUGUGAAGCAGCUGACCAGGGGCUACUCAGCACCUAGGAAAGGAAGAGUAAAGAAAGGAAAAAACUUACCAUUAACUUAGCAACAGUGGAUAAUGCAAGUGUUGAGUUUCUCGCUUUGUAGAGAAUAAUGCUUCAUACUUAAGAUACAAAAGAUGGAGGGUGUCUAGUGAAGGACCAAUAUGUCAUAAGAGUCGAGGGUGUUAUUACACCAUCCCAUUCCAUCACUUUCUUAGCAAGACAAAUCUUGCCACGAUUGAACUAUUUUUACUAUAGGGUGCCAAGGCAAGGUCUUAACAUCGAUGGGACCAUUGUUCCAUUCAAGGCCACUGAAAUAUCAUUGAUAAGGCACCUUCCUACCUUAUUAGAUAAAGUAGAGUUCGAUAAGGAGAAGAAAAGUCUGAUUGCUGAGCUUGCUAUUUAAUGGACAACAGAUUCUUGGUAAUUGUAGUGUGUUACAAAACCACCUAAAUAACUAGUGGGGGAGAC